AUAAACGUCUCUCGCGAUGUCGGCCACGUUUUCGCUAUUUAAUGCCACCUCGCGCCUUAUUUGUCAGAUCCGUUCUUCUGUCUUAUCUCCUGUCUUUGAGAACUGCAAUUUUGAUUAGAUCGGAAACUGCAAUUUUGAUUAGAUCGUUUUCCGAUCUAACCGUUGAGCAUGGCUUUACCUUUUUCUUCUUGGAGAUCGAUCUGUGGUUGAUGCAUGUUCAUAGCUCAGCUAGAUCAGUUACGGGGUAGCUUUAGCUAUAGCUGUUUCCGAUUUGCAUCAGAUCUGCGAACUUUGGAGCUCUUUGAUCUCAGGUGGCGAGAUCUAUGGACGUACGACUGGUUAAGGUCUCUUUGCCUGGCUGAUAUGUUUGUCUCUGAGCUUUUGUUUUUGUUUGUUUGGAGAUGACCAGCAGCUGUGACGUUGGUGCCGAUAGUGAUUGAUCUCUCCAUGGAAGAGAGUUGGUGGUGGAUGGAUCGUGGUCGUUGACCAAGCCGUGGUUGCGGAUAACUGGAAGAUUUGCGCCUUCCAAUCUGAUGAUCGAUGGUGAUGGUGGUCUUGAGUCAUUUCGUAAGAUCAUAAGGCGAAAAGGGUUCGUUUGUGGUUAUAUUAUAUGUGAAUCUGUUCGAUUAUGAUUUAUGAGGUAAUACGAUAGAAGUGUAGGAUGCUGGAUACCUGGGUGCGAAGGCUGAGGAGAUGUUUGGUUAAUUGAUGUUUAUUUGCUGCUGUUUGUCCCCUGACCUUUGCCAUGGCAGGUGCGCUUGCAUGGCAGGUCAAAAACUUAAAUAAAAUUAACUUUUUUGGGUUUUUGAGGGGGGAGAUGGCACGGGAGUAUUUGCUUUAUUUUUCCCGGCUCUCCCCCACUUUGUGUGCGUGUCUGGUCGUGCCUUCCUUUGCUUCUCUCUUUUCCUCUUUUCCUCUUUUCCUUUUCUAUCUUUAUACUGGAAGGUUUACUAAACAAACAUACUUUGCAACUAAGGCAAACAAGGCAACAGCCAUGCAGGAAUCGGGAUUGUCCUUCGUGAAUUCGACCACCAAAGGUAUAAUACUUAUCUAUCAUCUACCUUUAGAUAUUAUUCAUAGAUUCUCUCAGAUAUGAUCGCCUUGAACAUUUUUAAACAAUUUUAUCUCUGUUAGCCGAUCAAAAUAGCUGUAAUGCGCUCUCAUUCACAUACCAAUAGUUUAAUCGUCCUUUCACCAAGUCGGCGAUCAUAUGCACAAGCUAGUUCGAAUUUAGAUAUUAUUCAUAGAUUCUCUCAGAUAUGAUCGGCUUAAACGUGUUUAAACAAUAACUCUAUUAGCUGAUCAAAAUAGUUGUAAUGCACUCUCAUUCAAAUGCCAAUAGUUUGCCUUACUUGCACCAAUUCUGCAAUCAUAUGCACAAGCUAGUUCGAAUUUUAUACUUGAAUUCUAACUUUAUAUUUUAUUAUCACGCACUGCAUUAAAAGUUGAAAACAAUAACUUUAUUUAUAUUUCGCAUUCAAGUUUGUCGUCCAUCCUAUCGACUUGUUGCAGCACAGUUCAUAUUUUAUGUCCAAAGUCGGGGUUAUUUUUUUAAGAUGAUUUUGUAUCUGUUGAUCAUUCCGAGUAAAAAUAUUAUCUGCGCAUAAGGUUGGUGGUGAACAAGCUAGUUCGUAUUAUAUUUAAUUCUAACUUCAUAUUUUAUUAUCACGCACUGCACUGAAAGUGGAAAUCAGUAAGUUUAUUUAUAUUUCACAAUCAAGUGUCUUGCAUCCUAUCAACUUGUUGCAGCCAGUUCAUAUUUUGUCUCGAAAAGUUAUAUCAUUCUGAGUAAAAAUAUUAUCUGCACAAAAGGUUGUUGAUGAUUUUUGACAAUGGAAGUAACUGAAUAACCGAAGUAGUAAUUGUAACAGAAUUGAAAAGCAGGCACUGGGCCUAACAAGGUAGGUCAUAUUUAAUACCCAAAUUCAAGCUCUUCAUAAAUUCAUCCUGCAGCAAAGAAAUGAGAGAAUAAUGGAAGUUAUUUAAAUAAAUAAUUGGUAGACAAAGGCAUUUUUUAUGGGAAGAUGGCAAAUAUUUUACAUCUAGAUGUUUUGUUUGCUUCUGCAACUUGCAAUUUACUUAAGAAGUUAAUUUAUAUCACAGCGUGGGUACGUAUGUAUGCAAGUACAUUUGCAAUUUUGUAUAUACACGUGCAAUUAUUUAUAUACAUGCACGUGCAAUGAUGGCAUGAAAGUCUUGUGGGCAGGAAUACCCUUCUGGGGUGUUGGGCUUAUUAGAUGUUGCUAAAUCUUUUUUUUUUUUUUCCAUGUUAAUGAUUUUUGUUGGAGAGAUGGGGUUGGUUUCCUGUUCCAGAAUGUUAAGCAUGUAUCUAAUGUAUCUUUAGUGGUUGUUACACCUCGUAUAGAGUGUACUGUUGCUGUAUGUAGUGUAUCAACUCGUGGUGCUGCGAUGCACCUAAAUUUAGUGGUAACUAUUGGUUCUUGAUGACCUGCUUCAAGUGGUGCUGGAUUCGGCUUUUCUUUGGGCACAAUUGAAGAGUUACUGGGUCGUGGCGUGAGAAUGUUAUUGGGGCGUUUCUGCUUUCUCAUGGAGAUUGUGGUUAAGCAAAAUUUACAAGGGGAUGCAUGUAGGACGCAUCUUCAUCUGCGAGUUCUUAAGGCCAGUUUCUGUGAUGUGCUGUAGAGCUUAUUGUUGCUGUUGGUUGAAUUUACAGAUGUGAUUUUGUCAAAAUUCAAGUCAUGAACCUCGAUUUGUAUGUUCUUUAAGAUGUCUGUACUUGAUGCAUCUUUGGGCAUCACGGUAUGAUUCCUUUUCCCUUGCACCAAUUAGCUAUAUUCUCCUCUUCACCUCUGUUGCAGAAACACUUGUAUGGAGCAAAAAGCCUUUAUGGUUCCUACACAUUACUGGGGGACUCUCUAGACGUUGUUGCUCUUAAAAGGAAAGCUGUCGAGUACAUUUUCAUCUUGAGUGGCGAUGAAGACUUUUUUGUGGUAGCUGUAUAAACAUCAACUUGUUGCAACUGGGGAAGGAUAACUCUGUGCAGUAUGUGUCGUACACGGCUUAUUACCGGAACUGUGGUCUGUUGAAUUUUUCUUUUUGGGUGUUAGCCUUUUCCACUUGGUCUUAUUUAAGAUCCGCAUCAUCUGCAUCAAGUUUUUGCUUUCCUAUAAUCUUGGAGUCUGGUGCAAAGCUUCCUAAUAUUGUUGUGAGGUUCUGCGUCAAAGAUAGAAAUACAUACCAUCCUCAUUAAUAAGAGUACGAAGCCUACUUGACUGCUUCUAAGGCAUGGUAUCUGGAGGCAUGAAACUGGUAGCCUAAAAUCUUAGGCUUGAGGUGCAGCAGAGUUGUAACCUAAAAUCUUUCCUAAAUCUUGUUGUUUUUGAAUUCAAGUUCUCCUGUUUAACUUAAAUUCUUUGCUUUGUGAAUUUGUUCAGCUUGUGUGUGUGUCUGAUUACAAAUCUUUUAAAGAGUCCAGCAAGCAUUCUGUCCUAUCUAGUGACUCUGGUGUGAGUGAGUUGAACGUUUUCUAGUUAUAUCUUGUGUAUCACAAUCAUCGCAUUCUAGACUAACCUGCUCCUAUUGCAGUCAAACGGGUAAAGGAAUUUAUGGGAACUUCCGCUACUGGGGACACCAAGGUUUGCUUUAGAUAGCGGCGUGUCUAUACGCUAGUGAGUUAUCAAAGGAACAGGAAAACCAAAUGGAUUUUGCAUGUUGAAAUUACAUAUUGCCCCAUGGUUCUCGCAUUCAAACACCUUGACCUUUUUGCCUUUUUAUCCUGUCUACUGCUUUUGCUUAAUUAUUUGAAUGUGUUUGGUAGUAGAUUGUUUUAAAAUUCGUGAAUGUGGUUAUUAAUUUAUUUUGAGUUGGAUUUUCUCUCUUA